AUUACUCUGCAUCUAUUGGAGGUGCUUUAUUAUUUUCAUUUUAUUAAUUUUUUUAAAUGAUCAGGCUUUAUUACCUGUUCUGUUACAAUGAGUUUUAAACAAAUUUGUACACCCACAUGUCAUCCAUCACGCAAAUUAAGAUAAAGAACAUCCCCCUCACCCUCAUGCCUGUUUUUAGACAGACUCCCACCCCUCCUUCACUGGACGAAGGCGCCUCAGAUGUGUAGUACAAUUAUGGCAUUAUCUUCCUCAACUUGAAAACUUUGCUGUCACCACUGCUAUCAUCAGGGCUUAAUUUUGCCUUCUCUUGAGCUACCUAUAACUGGAAUUACACUACAUAUGCAUUUUUUUGUAUUUAUCUUAUUUCAAUAGUUUUGGGGGAACAGGUGGUGUUUGGUUGCAUGGAAAAGUUCUUCAGUGACGAUUUCUGAGUUUUGGUGCAUCCAUCAGCUGAGCAGUGUACACUGCACCCAGUGUGCAGUCUUUUAUCCCUCACCCCCUCCUGUCCUUCCCCUGGAGUCCCAAAGUCCAUUACAUCAUUCUUAUGCCUUUGCUUCCUCAUAACUUAGCUCCUAUGCACUCUGCAAAUUUAAGACAGCUGCACAAUACUUAGGACAUGCCUCUGCUCCUUCUGCCUUAAAGACUGCUAAUUCUCCGUAAUGCGCCUCUGGCUGGCAGCAGUACUUGAACACUGGGGCUUAAUCCCCCCUUGGUGUUAAUGCUUCAGACUAAGGCCAGGUCAGUUGUGUUCUGAUCCCAUGCUGCCCCCUCUUCUGAGGCUGCUGUGGAUGGAUCACGAUGGCGGCAUGGGAGUGAGGAUCAAUGGUGGCCUCUUGGUGCCCAUUUGCUACUUCUGGCUUCCAGUUUAGGCAUAUGCGUUCCUAGCCCACUAUCACUGCCAACAACUAUUACCCACACUGGCAGUGAGACCAUCAGAGCCUGGCCACGCUGUUCAGGGCAGUCUUUGUACCUGGUAGCUGCAAAGCGCCAUGAUGUCAGAAACAGAAUCUGUCUACUUGCACCUAGAAAACCCCUGGAUAUGGAAUAGUUCUCAAUAAAAAUGAUGUGACUGAAUGCAGAGCAGAAUGCAGUGCUGGUGACGAGCAUGCAGGCUGUGGGCACGUCGGCACUGGACAAGGGACUCCAGUUUACCAGGGACCUUAAAACAGAGGGAAAGACAACUGUAUGAGAGGCAGAUGUCCCACAUCCGGCACCUGACACAUUUUAAUCUUCAACUAGGCCAGACUUCACUAAAACUUAGUGCAACAAAGGUUUCCGGAAUGUCAUGCCCUAAAUAUUUAGUCAUCUAAAAAACAGAACAAAACAGGAAAAAACUCUACUUCUUCAGAAAACACAAAUUUUUACUAAGAAGUUUGUGUACUUUUAAAAUAUUCACUCAAGAGUUAAAGAGAAAAAGAAAAAAAAAACCCUCAAAGUAUUAGGGAGGCAGGGCACAGUGGCUCACACUUGUAAUCCCAGCACUUUGGGAGGCCAAGGCGGGAGGAUAACUUGAGCCUAUGUAGUUGAAGACCAACCUGGGCAACACUGUGAGACCCCCGUCUCUAAAAAGAAAGUGCUAGAGAAUGUUCAUAUUAUACAAUGUCUCCCAAAGAAGUGGAGUGGGUUACUGAAAUGUGAGCUGAAAACAGCACACUCUGCCUCACUCAGGAGAUAAGCGGUGAAAGCAGGCAGUUCUGGAGAUGUGCUAUUGAGUAAAGUUACUCAUAUCAGAGAGCCACAGAAAUAGGAUCCUUUCCUGAAAAUCUUAUUCCUUGGAACAGUUAUUUUUCUUACUUUGAAUGUGUCAUAUUUCUGUUAUUUUUCACUCAUUUACCCAGCCUCCCAACAAUUCAUAUCCAAUAACCAUUGUCCACCCAUUCUUCCAUGUGGUAACUGCUUACUGAGUGUUUUUGUCCCAGGAACUAUGUCAGGUAUUUGGUAAAUCAAGACACAAUCUCCACCCUCUCUUAAAGGUCACCCUGUCACAUACCAGAUUUAUGUAGUGGUGAUUUCGCUGUAAGCUUGUCACUCCCUAAGCUUGUGACAGAUUAAAAUAUGUUCAUCUAUCAAUGUGGACAUAUGAGAACCCAUUGGUUCUACCAUCAUUAUUCUGUACCAAUUGUUAACCAAUGAGCAUUCUCCUGGAUUUUCUUCUAUUUCAAUUCUUUUUUUUUUUUAAGAAAGUUCUUUAUUUUUAUUAAUAUAUUUAUUUAUUUGAGACAGUCUUGCUCUGCCGCCUACGCUGGAGUAUAGUGGCGCCAUCUAGGCUCAUUGCAACCUCCGCCUCCCGGGUUCAAGUGAUUCUCGUGCCUCAGCCUCCUGAAUAGCUUAAACUAUAGGCGUGCGCCACGACGCCUGGCUAAUUUUUGUAAUUUUCACAGAGACAGGGUUUCACCGUGUUGGCCAGGCUGGUCUCGAACUCCUGAGCUCAAGUGAUUCGCCUGCCUCGGCCUCUCAAAGUGCUGGGAUUAUGGGCGUGAGCCACCGUGCCUGGCCUGGCUAUUGCGUUCUUUAAUCUAAAAGGUUUAUUUUGAUUUGCAAGCACACCCAAAAGGGAUGACAUCUGCAAUAAUCCCUCUGUUGCCAGGUGUGGUCGCUCAUGCCUACAGUCCCAGCACUCUGGGAGGCCAAGGCAGGAGGACUGCUUGAGCCCAGGGGUUCGAGACCAGCCUGGACAAUGGGGCAAAACCCCAUUCUCCACACACACACAAAAAAAACCACAAAAAUUAGCCAGAUGUGGUGGCUUCAGACUAUAGUCUCAGUUAUUAGGGAGGCUGAGGUGAGAGGAUUGACUGAGCCCAGGAAGUCAAGUCUGCAGUGAGCCACGAUUGCACCAUUGUACUCACUCCAGCUUGGGCAACACAGCAAGACCCUAUCUCGAAAAAAAUCCUUCUCUCAAGUUUAAUUUGGAUUACCAAGUAGGAGAGGAGGCUUGGGUCAAUAUUCCCCAUGAAAGCAAAGGUGAUGACAGGGUCACAGGCGAGCUGAGUUAAUCUAUUUAAUGAUAUCUGAUAGUUUUCAAUAAUUCAGCUCCCAGCUGAUAGACAAAUGUUACAAACAACUCCCUAACCAUGGCGAGGGGAUUUAUCUGAGCACAUUUGGAAUUUAGGAUCACUUAAAAGGGGAAAUAAAUAACAGUCCGCUUUUCACUGCUGGCCUCCACGUGGCAAUAAUUUACCAGCAUUCCUUGAGUCCCAGCAGCUUUGCAGCUCUCGGCCUUUAAUCUAGAAGCCAAGCUCUGGCUCAAAGCCACGCCUCUAAUGGAUGAAUCAGCAAAAUGAAUUGGCUGUCAACUGUGUCCUCCAGCUAUUCCAGCUCGCCUGUCAGAAGCAGCAUGUAGCAGGCUGCUGGGUAAAACUAACCUUUUCCAAAUUUGUCAGGGAAAUGAUUCAAGGCAAUCUAUCGGUCUUGCCACUUUGUGAAAGCCACUGGGGAACCAAAUGUGCUAAGAGUCCUCCCUGUUUCCCUGGAGGUGAGUGGGAGCAGUUCCCUCACAUAAGAGUCUCAAACACUCCGGCUUCACUGUGCCCAAGAACAGCACGGUCCGGGGUGGUCCAGUCUGAUCCCAACCGGCCCACCCGGGGCAUCCGGUGGAAGUCUUCGCCGGAGGAUCCGAAGGCAGCAUCAACGCGGUUGUCUCUUGACACUGCACACAGCAUAGCAUUUAAUCUUCGGAUGUUCUAGUCACCACACAAAUAAAGAGACUGAGCAUCGGAGAAACUAAACAGCUUGCCUGAGGUCUUGUAGAACUGCCUGGAAAAGGAAAAGCUGGAAAAAUUGUUUAUCCAUGGGGGGGAAAAAAAAAGAAAUUGGAUUCUUAGUCACACCAUGCCGAAAAAUUCACUCCAGAUGGAUGAAGAGCUGAAAUGUCAAAAGCAAACUCUGAGAAUUUGAAAAGGAAAUAUAAGUGAGUAUCUUUCUGAGCUUGAAGUAGGGAAGAAUUUACAAAGAUAGAAAAAAGGACAGGCAUAAAAGAAAAGAUCAAUAAGUUUGGCUACAUUAAUAUUAAAGCCUUUGUCCAUCAGAAGACACUUUAAAGAGAAGAAAGACAAUCUAUAAACUGGAAGAAGAUAUCUGUAAGACAUUCAACUGACAGGAUUAGCACUAGAAUAUAUAAAAAUAGCCACAAACUAGUGAGGAAACAACUGCAGAAAAGUGGGCACAAGGCAUGAGAAGCACGGUCACCGCACAGAAGGGAGGUGUGUGAGGCCAGUGGACAUAUGCAGAGAUGCUCGGCCACAGACAAAGGCAAAUCAUGACUAUGAUGAGACAUGAUUCUAUACCUACUGCGUUGGCAAAAAUUAUAAAAAACAUUGAUAAUACAACUAUUGGGAAGGUGUGGAGCAACAGGAUCCCCAGUGGUUGUACGACCAUUUUGGAAAACAAGUUAGUGUUCUCACUUAAAGAUGAUCAUUCUCACUUCCUAUGACCCUGCAAUUUCACUCACGAAUAAUAAGAGAUCAAUACAAUAGUUUCCAAAAAAAAAAAACUGUUCAUAAUAGCUAAAAAGAAAGAGAAAGAGGGCUCCAAAUCCUUAUCCUUGGGUAAAUGGACAAAUCUGCAGUAUAUUCACAAAAUGGAAUAUUGUCUAAGAGAAAAUAUGAGUGAACUACAGCUACGCAGAAUAAAAUGGAUGAAUCUCA